UGGCUUCCACUUUCUCCACUUAGCUUCAGGUUCCAUGCCCAUUUCUUCGAGAACUCUUCCUGCCAAACAACAAAUGGAGGCUAAAAGAAUACAUCUAUGUGAAGCUCUGGGUUUCCAUCUCCAAACAAUGUGAAAUUUGAGUGCCAGCUCCACCUUUAAUUCUAAUGGAUGCUAAUUUGGCUUCUGGGUUCGUGGAAACAAUUUCCUAUCUUGAUUCCAGUAUGUUGGUGACUCUAUGAUUUCUGAUUUUUGAAUUGUUACAACAAAAUAUUUGUUCAAGGGUGCUAGCAGAAAUGCUCCUUUUAAAUGAGAACAUAUCGGGCAGCACAACAACACUACAACAAAGCGUCAAACUGGAUUAUUCAGCUAAUGGGUCAGGAACAAAACAAGAAGGGGGCUUGCUGAAACUCAAUUUCAGGAGCUCGGCUCAACAAUUCGGGAUAAAAUAACUUCUCAUGUCAUGCCAUGGUUUACUAGCGAGGCUGCUCAAAGAGAUUCAAGCUGAAAAUAUGAAAGAUGUUAUCGAGGAAGAUGAGGAUGAAGAAGAUGCAUAUGACAAGGAUGAAGAGGAGAUGACAGAAAAGAAUGUGAGAUUUUUUGCCUGCUUUUACAAAGUGAUUCGACUUUUUCCUGUUAAUCUAUGCCAUGUUAUUCCAGUUAAAGAGGGUUACUAGAUUUUUACAAAUUCUGUUUGCAAAGUAAAAGUUAAUGUGUUGCCCUUCUCAGCUGCCACAUGUUAAUAGAGGGUAUUGUAGCCAUAAAGAUUGCUUUUAGAAGUUAAUUUGAGUGUGUGUUUCUCUCACAUCAAAGGCUUGAACCACUAGAAUAGAGAGGGUGAUGAAAAUUGGCAAAGCAACUAAUGAACUAACUCUUUUCUUCAUUCUUUCGUCAUGUAUUUUCUUGAUAUCUUAGGAUCUUUAUUUUAAAGCAGUCUGUUUCAUGAAGCUUUUGUAAUAUCCAUAAAAUUAUCGUGCAUAUAAACGAAUUGUUAACUGA